rnacentral:rRNA from 1 species
CGUAGGGGGCGAGCGUUGUCCGGAAUCAUUGGGCGUAAAGAGCUCGUAGGCGGUUCAGCAAGUCGGCUGUGAAAUUCCGAGGCUCAACCUCGGAACUGCAGUCGAUACUGCUGUGACUCGAGUCCGGUAGAGGAGAAUGGAAUUCCCGGUGUAGCGGUGAAAUGCGCAGAUAUCGGGAGGAGCACCAGUAGCGAAGGCGGUUCUCUGGGCCGGUACUGACGCUGAGGAGCGAAAGCGUGGGGAGCAAACAGGAUUAGAUACCCUGGUAGUCCACGCUGUAAACGUUGGACACUAGGUGUGGCGGUCUGAUCAACGACUGCCGUGCCGAAGCUAACGCAUUAAGUGUCCCGCCUGGGGAGUACGGCCGCAAGGCUA